rnacentral:misc_RNA from 1 species
GAUGAAGAACGCAGCGAAAUGCGAUACGUAAUGUGAAUUGCAGAAUUCAGUGAAUCAUCGAAUCUUUGAACGCACAUUGCGCCUGCCAGCACUCUGGCAGGCAUGCCUGUUCGAGCGUCAUUUCAACCAUCAAGCCCUAGGCUUGCGUUGGAGCCCUGCGGCUGCCGCAGGCCCCUAAAAGCAGUGGCGGGCUCGCUAUCACACCGAGAGCAGUAGAUUACUCUUCGCUCAGGGCGUGUGGCGGGUUCCAGCCGUGAAUCCCCCUACUUCUCAAGGUUGACCUCGGAUCAGGUAGGAAUACCCGCUGAACUUAAGCAUAUCAAUAAGCGGAGGA